CGGCCCGGCCCUCUCGACCCCACGCCGCCAACGCGCAUCUGCGCCUGCGCCUGCGCCGGUACCACCCUGCGUGCGCACGUCGACGUCCUUUAGGGCGCCAUGGAGGAGGGGCCUAGCGACCCGCGUGGGGGCGGGGCAGGAGGCGGGGCCAUACGGGGCGAGGGUUUGGAGUCCCUGGCGCGUGGCCGGGUCCCGGCGGCACCCCUCAGAGCUUCCAGCGGGUGGCCGAGCGCGGUGAGUCGUGUCGGACCCUGCUCUCCAGUCCUGCGCUGCGGCCUCGCCCGGGGAAGGCCCGACCGAGCGGAGGUGGAGCACCGCGCCAGGAGCAGCCCAGGAGCGAGGCCCGGAGAGCUCUACGGGCGCGCGGGAGGACUACCGGGUCCCCAGCACCUGCGACAGCUGGCGCUGUGCCUGCCCUGCCCAGACGUCUGGUGCCGCGUUCUUUGCGUCCACAUUGAUUGGAAAUCACCCCUGCGUCUGUCUGCAAGACCUGGUUAAACUAGCGAAACCGCCCCGAGUGAUACGUGCUGCAGUUUUGGUUUUAAAGGGGAGUAACUUCUGCAGACGCGCUAGGGUAACAGUGCCCGAAACAGCUAGGGGAAAGGAAAGAAUAUGUAACAGGCACUGGGGGCCCAGAGGGGGAGCCAGGCGAGACCUCAGUCUCUGAGCGGAAGAGAUGGGGCCAGGAGGCUGGUAGAAAAAUUAUCCAGAAUGACAGGAGGUAGAUAGACGAGGACACUUAAAAUAAUCGUUGUAACUGUUUUAUAGUAUGCAAGAAACAAGAAGGAAGACUGCAGAUACUGAGUCAUAGAACUUAGAAAAACUUUAAACUAAGCUCACCAUAUAGAGAUGUAAAUUUAAUAUCCUAGAUGAUAAAGACAAUAUUAGUGAGCUUAAAGACAGCAUAGAAACUAUUACAGCUUAUAUCUAGAUGUCACCCCAAAGCCUUCUGUGCUCAGAGGUGCAUUUUGGGGAAGUUAUUUGUCAGGGGACUAGCCAUCCAAAUUGGAGAGGAAAAAUAAAAUCAUCUCUGUUCACAGAUGACAUGAUCCUAUCUUACAAGUCCCAAAUAACCUGCAGAAAGCUACUAGAACCAUUAGGCACAUUCAGCAAAGUUGCAGAAUACAAGAUCAAACACAAAAAUCAGUGUGCUUCUGCAUAUCUGCAAUGAGUAAACCACAAAGAAGCUAAGUCAUCAAUUCUACUUACAAAAGCACCCAAAAGAAUAAAAUACCUAGGAUAAAUGUAAGCAAGGAGGUAAGAGACUUGCUCACUGGAAACGACAGAACAUUGCACUGUGGUCUACACAUGGGACUUCAUCCCUGUCACAGCCCCCCAGGGGAAGGCUCAUCCACAAAUGCAUAUGGAAUGAGGAGUCUCAAAUACAACCUUGAAAAAUAAAGGAGGAUUCAUACUUCUGAAUUACAAAACUUAGUGUAAUCAAAACUAUGUGGUCCAGGCGUGAGGAUGGACACAGGACUAAUGGAAUAGAAUUGAGACUCCAGAAGUAAACCAAUACAGUUUGACUGCUUUUCAAUAAGGAUGUCAAGUCCAUUCAGUGGGGAAAAUACUCCUUUCAGCAGGUGGUUCUGGGAGAACUGGAUGCAAAAGAAUGAGCUGGAGCCCUACCUCACACCAUACAGAAAACUUAGACCCACAGCCUAGCUGUAAGAAGUAGAACUAUGAAACCUUGAGGAAUAAACAGAUGUAAAUCUUCAUGACCUUGGAUUUUGCAGUGGGUUCUUAGAGAUUAAAAAACACAACAAAACAGAUAAAUCAUACUUUACCACAAUCUAGAACUUAUGUGUAUCAAAAAAUAUUUUCAAAAAAAUGAAAAAACAACCCAUAUAUGGGGAGAAAAUAGGACAAAUCAUGUGUCCAAUAAAGGAUUACUACCCAGAAUAUGUAAGGAAAGGCUGGGGAUUUAGCUCAGUGGCAAAGCACCUGCCUGGCAAGCACAAGGUCGUGAGUUCGAUUCCUGGUACCGGAAGAAAACCAAAACAAAACAAAACAAAAAAUAUAUGUAAGUAAUUCCUAUAACUCAAUAACAAAAGGACAGUCUAAUUCUUAAAACAGGUAAAAGAUUUUAAUAAACAUGUCUCUCUAGAGGAUGCACAAAUGCCAAUAAGCACAGGAGUAGACACUCAACAUCAUUAGUGAUUGAGGAACCACAGUGAGAUGUGACUUCACACUUACUGGGAUGGCUAUAAUAAAUCUAAAAGAAAAAAAAAAUACCAGGUAAUAAGUGUUGGUGAGGAGGUGGAGAAAUCAGAACCUGGAUUUUUGAUGGUGGAAAUGGUAAAUGGUGCAGCUGCUAUGGCAAACAGUUUGGCAGUUUUUCAGAAAACUGAACAGCAAGUUACCAUGUGAUAAUAUGGCACCAGUGGCUCCCCUCCUAGGUGUAUGCCCAAAGAACUGAACUAAGGAUUCAAACUUACCUGUAGACCAACAUCCAUAGCAGCAUUAUUCACAACAGACAGAGUAGAAGCAACUGAAGCACCCUGUAGUGGACCAGUAAGCAAAAUGUGGUCCAGAGACCCACAAUAAAAUAGUCCUCAACCAUAAAAAGAAGGAGGCUCCAAUAUACACUGCAGACAGAGGAACCCUGGAAACAUGCUAAGUGAAAUAAGCCAGACACAAAAAGGACAGAUACUGCAUGGGUCCCCUUAGGUGGAAUAUCUAGAUAGGCAACUUCAUUGAACCGAAAGUGGAUUAUAGAAGAAGGGAAAAUUGCAUGCUGCUUAGGGGUUACAGAGUUUUCUGUUUGGAGCUGUGAAAACAUUUGGAAAUAGAUGGUGAUAGUUGCACAAAACUCUUGUCUAGAAACAUGCAGUCCCAGCACUGAGGGAGACUGAGGCAAGAGGGUUGCGUUUUGAAUCCUGCAACUUACUGGGACCUUGUGUCAAACUUUUUAAAAGGGCUGGGGACUUAACUCUGUGGCAGAAUGCCCCUAAGGUCAAUCCCUAAUGGCAAAAAAAAAAAAAAAAAAGUAAACGUAGUUGAUGCUACUGGAUUGUACACUUAAAGCAGUUAAAAUGACAAAUGUUUAUCACAAUAAGAAAGGGAAGGAAGAGGAGAGGAGGGGAUGAAAGAAGAACUGAAUGAGGUGUUUCGUGUGAUGCACCCACUCCACACGGAAUGUGGUUGUUAUGUAAUACAAACAUGUACUAAGGGAAAUAAAACCUGAGAAAAAAGAAAAAAAAUGCUUCAGUUAAAAAGAAAAGGAAAGAUGAGUGAAUCUUGAAAGAGCACCUGACAGGAAAGACACCAGACAGGAAAGGCCACGUAGCGUCUACAUCCACGUGCACAAAAUGUCCAGAUAGGCGAAUGAAGGACACAAGUAGAUCAGGCUGCCUGGGUCUGGGGAAAGAGCCUGAGGGGUGAGGGCUUUGGUUUUGCGGGGUGAGUAACAACUGAUUGUAGACAGCUGUGCAGCUGUGUGUGUGAACUAUUGAUUUAUGACCUUCAAAUGAUGGGCCCUAAGGUAAUCUGAUUAUCCGUUUAAAGCCGUGUGUAGAAAUGGGUAGGGGGGCUCAGUAGACAGGUGGCUGGGGACAGGGGUCCUGCAAUAAACACAAGAAGAGACGCUGAACACCCUUAGCACCAGGGAAAGGCAAAGCAUAAGGGAUUCUAUUUUACUCUCCCGACAGCUCUAAUACAAAACAUAGACAAUAGUAUUGUCAGAGGUGGGGAGGAAACCGGCACUCUCCUCCAGGGGAUAACAAAAUGCUUUGGAAACCUGCCUGGCAGAUCCUUAGAAGCCUUACACCUGGAUUCCCAGAGGACUGGCUUGCGGCCCUCGCACCUGCCCGGGAGUGGGAGACUCACCAUCCACGGCACCCGGCACAGCAACGCUUGCAGUGGCCCCAGCGUGGACAGAAAGAGUGUUCACCAGCUGAGGCGUGGGUAGAUGACCGCUGCUGUGUCUUCACAGCGGUUAUCAUCCCGCCAUAUCAGGAGGGAAGGACUGACACACGGGCAGACCCCUUGUGGAAGAAGCCAGCAAGAAAGGUCUGUACACGGCACGGCUCCACGCUCUCCCGAAGUCCACAGGCAGCGGUCCGGAGCCGGGGUGGUGGAGAUGCGCAUCGGGGGCAGCUCAGCUCGAGUGCUUGAUGUUUACUUUUUAAACUCUGAAUACAUUAUCUAUUCACAUGAAGUACAACAAAAAUUAAGGCUAGCAACGUUUUUUUUUUUUUUCCCCCCCUCCAGUCCCAGGAACCGAACUCACGACCUUGUGCUUGCCAGGCAGGCACUUUUGCCACUGAGCUAAAUCCCCAGCCCCAAGACUAGCAAGGGAUGCUACUUUUCUCAGUGCUGAGAUUUUCACUAAUGUUUAAAAUUAACCUAAUGCCUAUGCUAUGCAUGUUUUCUAAUUAUCCUUUAAUAAAUACAUAAUAGCUUUAUAAUUAAGACUUCUAAACAUAAAAAUUCCAGGGUAAUUUUUUUUUUUGUGACAGAAGAGUAAGUUUUAAAAUGGAGAAAGUCUGUCUUUCUUACUCUGUAACAUGACAGAGGUGAGGCAGCUUUCUGUGUGUGUCCACACAAUGUGUAUUUACAAGCAUAGGAAAUGCAUUUGCACAUGAUGCCAUGAGUUACCCACCUUGACUUUUCACCUAUUUCUGUGUACUAGUAAUAUAUACAGUUCCUAAAUUGUUUUUUUUUUUUUGUACUGGGACUCGAACUCACAACCUCAUGCUUGCUGGGCAGGAACUGUGCCUGCUGAGCUGUAUUUCUGGCCCAGUCCCCACAUUCUUUAAUCAGCUAUGUAAUCUAUUGUAAAACCUUAGCAGCUCUCUGAUCAAGCAUCAUUUAGACUGCACACAUUUAUUUCCACUUUGGUGAUGCAGUGAGCAUUAUUGUAUAUAUGCAUGUGUGUGCCCAUGUCCACUCAGAGCAUUUCCUGCAGAACAGUAAUUAUUUAGGAAACACUUUUUAGAAAUAAAUUUCCAGGGUUUGGGGCCAGAAUUUUGAUGUUGCUUGUGUGUGCUGCGGUGAGCACAGGUGUCCACUAGAUAGCAGGAGAGGGUCAUAAAUCUCUGAGAGGCACAUCCUGCCCAAUAAACCUUAAAAUGUCCUAACCUAGGUCUGGGCUUUGUUUUUUUGAUCAAAUGAUUUUGCUGUUGUUCAGAGUUCACCUCUAACAACCCUAACUCCUCUGUCCCUACAAGAAAGCUGAUGCAGCAUUCUCCAGCGGUGCUCAUGACAGUGCUGCCCUGGUGUGCGG
rnacentral:lncRNA from 1 species